rnacentral:rRNA from 1 species
AUUGAACGCUGGCGGCAGGCCUAACACAUGCAAGUCGAACGCGUGGCGGACGGGUGAGUAAUGUCUGGGAAACUGCCCGAUGGAGGGGGAUAACUACUGGAAACGGUAGCUAAUACCGCAUACCAUCGGAGGUGACCAGAUGGGAUUAGCUAGUAGUUGGGGUAACAGCUCACCUAGGCGAAGAUCCCUAGCUGGUCUGAGAGGAUGACUAGCAACACUGGAACUGAGACACGGUCCAGACUCCUACGGGAGGCAGCAUUGGGGAAUAUUGCACAAUGGGCGCAAGCCUGAUGCAGCAAUGCCGCGUGUAUGAAGAAGGCCUUCGGGUUGUAAAGUACUUUCAGCGAGGAGGCGUUACUCGCAGAAGAAGCACCGGCUAACUCCGUGCCAGCAGCCGCGGUAAUAC